GCAAUGACGGUUAGUGGUAGAAUUCUUACUUCUCAUGCAGGAGACCUGGGUUCAAUUCCCAGCCAAUGCA
rnacentral:tRNA from 1 species